CUCUCAUUUGUCCAGUGAGAUGAAAAAUUUGAUCAGCGGAAGCCAAUCUGGGAAUGGUUCUAACAGGAUAAUGAUACUAGAUUACAUAAACCUGGAAUUUGAGUUUGGGAUUCACUUUAGAAUUAUUCCUAUCAACAAAAAAAUGAGUCCAUGAGAGGAAUAAGCAAAGUUUUGGUAAGGGUAUUUUCAUUAUUGAAUUUUUUUUUUUUUUAGCUUAUGUUUAAGAUUAAUCCAUUCCUGCUGAAGGAAGAGUUCAAAAAAAAAUAAUAAUAUGUCCUUCCUCAUUCUAUGUAUCUCUCAUUAUCACAACUUGAUUCCUAAAGACUCAUAAAACAGAUAGGUAGAGGGAUACAUAUAUGAAUAAAUGAUAGCAAAAAAUUAUUUUUUCCAGUUGUGGUGAUAAUAGUAUAUUUGAAAAAUAUUUUGAAUUUGUAGUCCCAGAAUUUAGCACAAUGUUUCACACAUAGCAAGUAUUUAAUCAAUGUUUGUUGACUAGUUGACUGAAGGAGUUUAUGUUUAGUAUUUAGAAAAAUUAAAGUCAGAAAUAGUCAGAAAUGAAGUAAGAAAUACUUCUAGAUCUGCUCAGAUACUAAAUAUUCAAGUCAUCAGAGCUGGCAAGUGUCCUGGGGAGUCUGGGCAUAAGCUCCUAUGUUUCAAGCAUGAAUAAGCAAAAUAAUUCAAAAUUUACUGCCAGUAGCAGACAGUUUCAUACUACUACUUGUCAGUGAAGCAGAAUGUUCUUGAGGAGGCACAUGAUUCUAAGAAGAGAUCUAAGAGGAAUUCUACUUCUAUCAAUUUUUGUUGAUUUGACUUGUUGAAUCUUUCAGAUGAAGAAACUGAGAUCCAAGGACCUCAAAUCACAUUUGCUCAAAGCCAUAUAGAGGCAGGAUUUGAAUUAAGAAGCAGCAAUUGAAGAGGCAAAAGUUGUGACACAGCUAUCAAAUAUCUAAGGCAGAAUAUGGACUCAAGUUACCUUAACUCCAGGGAUAAUACUCUAUCCACCAUAUUGACUAGCUGCUGAAUGCUACAUAGUAGCAUCUCAUUUUUUUUUAAAUCUAAUUUGGUUGUAAAUGUUUCUGGGACAAAUCAUUCUUGUUUUUUAAAAACAAAUAAAUGAAUACUUAAUAUUCUAUUGACCAUUGCACAGGCAGAUAAAAUGAAUUUUGUGGUUAAAUUAAAUUGUUAACAUGUAA